AACACAUGCAAGUCGAACGAGACCUUCGGGUCUAGUGGCGCACGGGUGCGUAACGCGUGGGAAUCUGCCCUUGGGUUCGGAAUAACUCGCCGAAAGGCAUGCUAAUACCGGAUGAUGUCGUAAGACCAAAGAUUUAUCGCCCAGGGAUGAGCCCGCGUAAGAUUAGGUAGUUGGUGAGGUAAAGGCUCACCAAGCCGACGAUCUUUAGCUGGUCUGAGAGGAUGAUCAGCCACACUGGGACUGAGACACGGCCCAGACUCCUACGGGAGGCAGCAGUGGGGAAUAUUGGACAAUGGGCGAAAGCCUGAUCCAGCAAUGCCGCGUGAGUGAUGAAGGCCUUAGGGUUGUAAAGCUCUUUUACCCAGGAUGAUAAUGACAGUACCGGGAGAAUAAGCUCCGGCUAACUCCGUGCCAGCAGCCGCGGUAAUUC
rnacentral:rRNA from 1 species